UCCCCCGCGAUGCUUUAGAGAUAAAGCGGAGGUAGUUCGGGGAGACAGGUGGUGCAUGGUUGUCGUCAGCUCGUGUCGUGAGAUGUUGGGUUAAGUCCCGCAACGAGCGCAACCCCUAUUGCUAGUUACCAUCAUUAAGUUGGGGACUCUAGCGAGACUGCCAGUGAUAAACUGGAGGAAGGUGGGGAUGACGUCAAAUCAUCAUGCCCCUUAUGACCUGGGCUACAAACGUGAUACAAUGGCUGGAACAAAGGGAUGCGAAGCAGUGAUGUGGAGCGAAACCCAUAAAAACAGUCUCAGUUCGGAUUGAAGUCUGCAACUCGACUUCAUGAAGUCGGAAUCGCUAGUAAUCGCGGAUCAGAACGCCGCGGUGAAUACGUUCUCGGGGUUU
rnacentral:rRNA from 1 species